rnacentral:snoRNA from 1 species
AAAUUAUUUCAAAUGUUUUGGGUGUCUGUGAAACCAACAGCUCUUAACACUAUGACCAAAAAUUUAAGUUCUCCUCUAUAUGUCACACUCAUUCGACAGUAUUGUCUUCCUGAGGAGGUGUAAGA